rnacentral:lncRNA from 1 species
AAGGCGAAACCGGCGAAGUCCCCCAAAAAGUCCAAACAGCGGAAAGCGGAUGCGGAAGAGGAUUCCGAAGACACCGAAGAGGAGCCGAAGAAAAAGCCCAAGUCCAAGAAGGCAGCAGCCGAAGAGGAAUCCGACGACGACUAGGCGCCGACGACCCCGGGAGACUGAAUAAAUGUUGUGAACUCACUGA